rnacentral:rRNA from 1 species
AUUGAACGCUGGCGGCAGGCCUAACACCUGCAAGUCGAGCGAGCGGCGGACGGGUGAGUAAUGUCUGGGAAACUGCCUGAGGGAGGGGGAUAACUACUGGAAACGGUAGCUAAUACCGCAUACCAUCAGAUGUGCCCAGAUGGGAUUAGCUAGUAGGUGGGGUAACGGCUCACCUAGGCGACGAUCCCUAGCUGGUCUGAGAGGAUGACCAGCCACCCUGGAAAUGAGACACGUGCCAGACUCCUACGGGAGGCAGCAGUGGGGAAUAUUGCUCCAGGGGCGCAAGCCUGAGUCAGCCAUGCCGCGUGUAUGAAGAAGGCCUUCGGGUUGUAAAGUACUUGCAGCGGGGAGGCGUUACCCGCAGAAGAAGCACCUGCUAACUCCGUGCCAGCAGCCGCGGUAAUUC